UCUUCUCAUUUAUUCUCUAAUAUUCAAAGAAACUCAUUAUCCACAUAUCAAAGAGCUUAUGAUAAUUCUUCCUUCUCCAAUCACAAACCCAUCAUGCUCAAGUUUUUUCCUUUGCCUCUUCCUUUCUUCUUUCUUUAGUGCACCACUCUCUCAUUAUGCGAUUUCCUUGCCAUUCGGUUAUUGUCCGUCGACCACACCACCCGCGGCUUCCAUUUUUGCCAUUACUUCUUAGAUUUCGGCAACCAUUACCGAUUCUUCUUUGUGAGCAUCAUCGACUCACACUCCUUAGUGUGAUUUUACAUCAUUUGGUCGACACCCAUCACAUAUAUGUAUGGUUAUCUUUAGAUUUUCUGCUGUCAAUAUGUCAUCUACUGCACCUGUCACAUUUGGUACAACACCUAGCACCUGGUACCACAUUGGAAUAGCACCUGUCGCUACAUCUGCAGUGCAUUUGGUACAACACCUAGCAUCUCACUUGGUACCAGUGCUGGAGCGACAUCUCCUCUAGUGGUUUCCCCCCUGAGUUCCUCUAUUCUAGGAUUCAAUGCUUUUUCUACCCUGAGGGUUUUCUUUCCUCCUAGCUUCCCAGCAUCCAGUAUUAACCCUUUCUACAUAGUAGCUAGAGGUGCUGCCUCAGGAUUCUCUUCGUUUAGUAACUCUUCAAGUGUUAGACCCUCCUCCACUAGUUCAUCUAUGAUAGUAAAUGUUCUCUCCUUACUUAUAAUUUCCUUAGCCGCUUCCCAUGUUAUUUCUUUAACUCUUCCCUUACUUUAUUUCUAUAGAACCUAGGCAUGGCUAAUGCUAGCAUUGGACUGCUUCACACUCUUACUGACUUUCUAGGUCCUCUUUUUCCUCUUGGCAAAGUAGAUGAGCUGUUAGCUUGGAAGGCUCUGAAAGCUAUUUAAAAAUCAGGGGAAAUAAAAUCUUCACUGAGAUACACACUUGGGUGAGCUGAGUGGAUUGAAGACUUUCUCCCAUAUGCUCGAGCCUUUAGCAGAAGGUUGGCAUUAAGAAGUUCAUCUACUUGACUUGCUUUGCUCCUUCAUUCUGCCCUAGACUCAUCUUAGGUUCUCUUCAGUUUUAGACCCGCACUUGUAACUCCUUUAUCUUGCCUAUGGGACCCAUAUCCAUCACCUGAAGGGCAUCUACAUGUUGACAGGUCUACUAGUGAUUGGUGAUGAUGCUCUUAGUUUGAUUACAGAGCCUAAGCUGAAAUAUCAACACAAAGGGAAGUUUACUUCUUAUGCUAUUUUGAUCUCUGCUAGGACAGGUACCACCACUACUGACCACUUUAUUUUAAUUUGGUGUCUCCUAUCUAAGUACCUGUUCCGUCCUGCAUUUGGCCAGCCUUCUGUUGAGAUCCUUCCUUUGGCUCAUUUCAUAGCCAUAUGAGGUGAUGAUGCU